rnacentral:rRNA from 1 species
AUUGAACGCUGGCGGCGUGCUUAACACAUGCAAGUCGAACGGAGUGGCGAACGGGUGAGUAACACGUGGGUGAACUGCCCUCCACUUCAGGAUCAGCACGGGAAACUGGGUCUAAUACCGGAUAGUGUGGGAUGGGCCCUGGGCAGAUCAGCUUGUUGGUGGGGUAAUGGCCGACCAAGGCGGCGGCGGGUAGCCGGCCUGAGAGGGUGGACGUCCACAGUGCGACUGAGAGACGGCCCAGACGACUACGUGCGGCAGCAGUGGGGAAUAUUGCUCAAUGGGCGGAAGCCUGAGGCAGCGACGCCGCGUGGGGGAUGAAGGCCUUCGGGUGGUGAACUCAUUACACCAUCGACGCGGUAGAUGGAGAAGAAGCACCGGCUAACUACGUGCCAGCAGCCGCGGUAAUAC